UUAAUUAUUACGACAUGCACUGACCAUGAGAUAUAUUUAUGUAGCAGAUACGAUUGAUCGAGCUGGGAUGUUCAACCGGAACUGGUAUUUCAUAGGAUGAGUUGAAUAUUAUAGCUUUCCAACGUUUAGCUUUGUGCACCGCAGUUCAGCAAUGUCGUUCUCUCCCGACAAUCACCAGUUGCUGUACAAAAGCUCACGAACCCCCUAGCGCCCCAUUAUCUGUAUAAUUCUGACACCGGUAGCUGUCCAUGUGAUCUCAUUUACAAUGAUUUCACCCUGUUUUCAAUAUACUUUUCCCCUGUUUGAAACUGAAUGCCAACAAUUUUGAAUUCCACAUUUUCACAUCAGUGUAGGUUCGCGAGCUUGGAUUCACAUUACUCUCUGCAGUCAAGGUCGUCAGACAAGUUAGAGCAAAUAUGUGCAGCAUCUAUCUAUCUACUAUUUGUCUACCGUUUUGCAUGUGGUAUAUACGAACGAACACCGCUGCCACAGACCGAUCAUCGAGGGAAGAUUCCACUUCUCGGUUUCCUCACACCCACCGCCUACAGCUACAGGCCCGGCCGUACCUUAUGCAAUGCAUUCUGAUGAGUUGUGUUUCCGAGAGGUGCUGGACGCCGAUGGAUUCCCAAAUCGCGCAGGCAGGAACCGUGAAAGUGAAAUUCACCCUCCAAUUUCACAAUUAUUUGCGAUGACGCGCCACAUUGAUCGCCGAUCGAUUCGCCACAGUUCUACAGUCUAAUGUUCACUUGAUCACUUCUGGAAAAUUUC